rnacentral:rRNA from 1 species
AACGAACGCUGGCGGCGUGCCUAACACAUGCAAGUCGAACGCACCGCAAGGUGAGUGGCGCACGGGUGAGGAAUACAUGGGAAUCUACCUUUCUGUUCGGAACAACACCGGGAAACUGGUGCUAAUACCGGAUACGCCCUUCGGGGGAAAGAUUUAUCGCGGAGAGAUGAGCCCAUGUCGGAUUAGCUAGUUGGUGAGGUAAUGGCUCACCAAGGCGACGAUCCGUAGCUGGUCUGAGAGGAUGAUCAGCCACACUGGGACUGAGACACGGCCCAGACUCCUACGGGAGGCAGCAGUGGGGAAUAUUGGACGAUGGGGGAAACCCUGAUCCAGCAACGCCGCGUGAGUGAUGAAGGUCUUCGGAUUGUAAAGCUCUUUUGGCAGGGACGAUGAUGACGGUACCUGCAGAAUAAGCUCCGGCUAACUUCGUGCCAGCCGCCGCGGUAAUAC